rnacentral:sRNA from 1 species
AAGCUAUUGACUCAAAACAAGCGCUUAGUGGGAGGCAACCCACUGGUUUGAUUUUUCUUUUGCCUUUCU